GACGUAGGGCGCGAGCGUUGUCCGGAUUUAUUGGGCGUAAAGAGCUCGUAGGCGGCUUGUCGCGUCGUUCGUGAAAACCCGGGGCUCAACUCCGGGCUUGCGGGCGAUACGGGCAGGCUAGAGUUCGGUAGGGGAGACUGGAAUUCCUGGUGUAGCGGUGAAAUGCGCAGAGUAUCAGGAGGAACACCGGUGGCGAAGGCGGGUCUCUGGGCCGAUACUGACGCUGAGGAGCGAAAGCGUGGGGAGCGAACAGG
rnacentral:rRNA from 1 species